GACCACUUGAGGUCGGGAGAUAGAGACCAGCCUGGCCAACAUGGUGAAACCCCAUCUCUACUAAAAAUACAAAAAAAAAAAAAUAGCUGGGUGUGGUGUUGGGUGCCUGUGAUCCCAGCUACUCUGGAGUCUGAGGCAGGAGAAUUCCUUGAACCUGGGAGGCAGAGGUUGCAGUGAGCCGAGAUCCUGCCAUUGCACUCCAGCCUGGGUGACAGAGUGAGACUCUGUCUCAAAAAGAAAAGAAGAGAAGAGAAAAGAAAAGAAAAAAAAAGGGAGGGAGGGGAGGGAAAGGAGGAGACCCUUGGGAACGGGGAAGUGGAGAAGCCAGGCCCCAGGGUCCUUUGGCAUGAUCAUGAAAUAUCUUUUUUCUUUGAGAAAUGCAGCCCCUGGCUCCAAUCAGCUAAUUUUCAAACCUUUGAUCCAUUGAUCCAUUGGGCAGUCUGGGCUUGCUUGGUUCUUGGUUCAGUGACAGACAGCAGAGGGUGAGAGAAAUGGCACAGGGCUGAGAGCCAUGAAGUCACUGGGCAUAGGUGAACGGUGUGACCACACCAGGCCAGGGAAGAAACACGUGCCCAGCCUGCCAUCUGCCCUCCUGUCUUGGAGCCAGGUCUUUCCACCAGCUUCCUUCAUCUUUUAACACUUGGUGAAAAGGAAUGACACGUCAGUCAAAGCCCCUGGCCGGUGCUCAUGGAGCAUCUGGCAGGAGGAAGCCCCUUCCUGGCUGGCCUCCCAUUCAUCAGUCAGCGCCGCAGGCUGGGCCAGGAAACAACCAAAAUGUUCUCCAACAGGUGAAUGGUGAAAUAAACGGUGGAACAUGUAUACUACAGAAAACUGCUCGGCAAUGAAAAGGAAUGAAUUAUUGAUACAUGCAAUAGUUUGAACUGAUCUCAAAGUCAUUAUGUUAAAUGAGAAAAAAAAAAGCCAAGUUCAAAAGGUGACAUACUGUAUGAUUCCACUUAUAUAACACUCUUGAAAUGACAAAAUUAUAGUGUUGGAAAACAGGUUAGUGGUUGCCAGAGGUUAGGGAUGGUUGGAGAGACGGGGAUAGGCGUGACUAUAAAGAGGCAGCACAAGAAAGAUUUUUAUGGUGAUGAAAUAAUUCUGCAUAUUGACUGUGAGGUGCUUACAAAUAUACACAUAUGAUAAGAUGACAUAGAACUAUACACACACAUUGUACCAGUGUCAAAUUCAUAGUUUUAAUAUUAUACUAUAACCAUCUAAAAUGUAACCACGGGGGGAAACUGAGUGAAGAGCACAUGGAUCCUCUUUGUACUACCUUUGUAACUUCCUGUGAACUUAUAAUUAUUUCAAAAUAAAAAGUUUAAUUAAAAAUCAGUUGCAUUUCUAUAUACAAGUAAUGAACAAUUGGGAAAUAAAGGUUUAAAAACUUCAUUUACAAAUAGUACUUAAAAAUACUUAGAAAUGAAUUUAAAGAAAGAUGUUCCAGACCUAUAACCUUAAAACUACAAAAUAUUAUUAAGGGAAAUUAAAGAAAACCUAAAUAAAUGGAGAGGCAUACCAUGUUCAUGGAUUUGAAGAUGCAAUAUUGUUAAAAGUUUUUUCUAAAAACUGACCUAUAGACUCAAUACAAUCCUCAUCAAAAUCAUAACAGACUAUUUUGGAGAAACUGAUAAAUUGAUUCUAAAAUAAUAUGAAAAAGCAAAGAGUUAAAAAUUGCCAAAAUAACUUAAAAAAUAAAAGCAAGUUUGAAGUGCUUGCAUUACCUGAUUUCAGGAUUACUAUAAAACCACAAUAAUCAAAAUUGUAUGGCAUUGGCAUGGUUAUAGAUCAGUAGAACAGAGUAGAGAGUGCAGGAAUAGACUUGCAUUUAUAUGCUCAAUUAAUUUUUUUUACAAAAGUGCCAAGACAAUUGAAUGAGGAAUGUAUAGUCUUUUUACAAAGUGGUACUGGAUAUCUUUAUGGGGACGAAUUAAGUUUUAAACCUUAUUUCACAUCAUAUGCAAAAUGAUCAAAAUAGAUAAUAGACCUAAACAUAAGAGCUAAAACAAUAAGAAUUUCUGGAAGAAAACAGCAGAAAAUCUUUGUGAUAUUGUGUUGGUAAAGAUUACCUAAACAUGACACACAAAGAUUAUCUAAACUUAACACAAACAGCAGUAAUCAUAAAAGAAAAAUAUAAUAAAAUAGAUUUCAUAAAAAUUAAAAACUUCUAUUCACUUAAGGACACAUUUAAGAAAAUGAAAAGACAAGCCAGAGACUAGGAGAAAAUAUCUGUAAAAUAUAUAUAUAGUGAAAGGCUUGUAUGCAGAAUAAUAAGAAAGCAAACAAUACAGAUUUUAAAAAUGGACAGAAUAUUUGAACAGACACUUCCCACAGAAAAUAUAUGGGCAGCCAAUAUGAACACGACUAGGCAACAAGGAAAUACAAAUCAAAACUACAAUGAAAUACCCAAUAUACCCAUUAGAAUGGGUUUUUUUUUAAACUGUCAUCGCAAGGAGUUAGUGAAGAUGUAGAAAAACUACACUCUCAAACACUGCCAGUAGAAAUGUGAAACGGUAUGGCCCCUUUGGAAAAGUGUUUGGCAGUGUUCUUAAAGUUAAACAUACACCCAUUACAUAGCCCAGAAAUUCCACUCCUAGGUACUUACCCAAGAGAAUGAAAACAUAGACUUGUAUGUGAAUGUUCACAGCAACAUUAUUCAUAACCACAUAUUCAUAAUAGCCAAACUCUGGAGGCCGGGUAUGGUGGCUCACACCUGUAAUCCCAGCACUUUGGGAGGCUGAGGUGGGUGGGUCACUUGAGCUCAGGAGAUUGAGACCAGCCUGGCCAACAUGGUGAAACCCCAUCUCUACUAAAAAUACAAAAAUUAGCUGGGCAUGGUGGCGGGCACCUGUGAUCCCAGCUACUGUGGAGGCUGAGGCAGGAGAAUCGCUUGAACCCUGGAGGUGGAGGUUGCAGUGAGCCAAGAUCAUGCCAUUGCACUUCAACCUGGGCAACAAGAGCAAAACUCUGUCUCAAAAAAUAAAUAAAUCUGGAAGCAACCCAAAUGUCCCUCAAUUGGUGAGUAGACAAACUGUGGUUAUCCUAUGAAUUACAUCAGAGCAGUUUUUCAGAUUUUUUAAUGGGCUGGGACUCAAGGCAAAAGCAAAAAUGGAAUUGAUUUAAAUAAAUAAAAAUAAAAGAUUUCAUCUUUUCUUCCCCUCUCACAAUCCCCUCAGGUCACUCUCUGACACACAAAGGAAUGGCAAAAAUGCAAUCCAACAUUGAAUCAUAAAUUACUAGACACCAGCAGCUGUGCUAGGUGCUGGGACACCAAGAGGGAUCAUACCUGGUUUCUGCCCUUGAGAAGCUCACAACGUAAACAGGGAUAGAGGUGGGUGCACAGUGAAUGCUCAUACAAAUCAGACUGCAGCGCGGCAAAGCACAAGACAGUGCUUCACUCGGCUGGGGGGAUAGUCAGUACUGACUGUGUUAGGAGUUUGAAGACUGUGGCCUCACAGAGGAGGUGACAAUGAGUAGAACCUUGAUGAGACUUUUUUUUUCUUUUGAGAGACAGGGUUUCGCUCUGUCACCCAGGCUGUGGCAGGAGUGCAGUGGCACAAUCAUAGCUCACUGCAGCCUCAAACUCCUGGCUUAAGUGAUCCUCCCACCUUAGCCUCCCUAGUAGCUAGGACUACAGGUGCACUGCCACACCUGGCUAAGUUUUUUAAUUUUUGUAGAGAUGGGAUCUUGCUGUGUUGCUCGGGCUGGUCUCAAACUCCUGGGCUCAAGCAAUCCUUCCACCUUGGCCUCUCAAAGUGCUGGGAUUGCAGGAAUGAGUCACUGUGCCCAGCCAGGAUAAGAUAAAUUAAAUAAGCAGAGAAGGUGGAGAGAUGUGGCAGAGGAAACGGCAGAGGGAACAUCCCAGCAGUGCCCCCUGUGACAUUUGGGGGAGUCAUGGGUAUUUUGAUGGGGCAGGUGCUUAGGAGCAAACUAAUGGGAAAAGAAGCAACGCAGAGCAUUUGGUCCCUGGUUUAGCUGUUUGCUGUCUGAUGUUCUCUGUGUUUGGGCAUCAGCGUCCAAGCCCUGCUUAUGCCCACUGGGCCAGUCUCUCAGGAGAGCAACAGGGUACCCUAUACCUAUUCAUUCAGAGCCAGCAGCCAGGUGAUUACUCAGCAUAAAGAAACUUCUUUUGAGCCACAUCAUCCAUGACAUUGGAUCCAAACUGCCAAGUCCACAAGGCUGCAAAAUUUCCCCAAUGUAUUCAUUUGGGUUCCAGUUAAAUGGACAAUAAUGAUCCUUUAGGAGUGUGUGGUGAAGUGUGAACACAUCCAGCACCUUCUGCUUUACAAAACACUUUCUCACCUGUUGACCAGAUGACUCUACCCAUGCUCCCACCAGUUAGGGAGGCAGAGAAAAUGUACCCCAUUUGAUAGAUGAGGAAACAGGCUAGAGUUGCCAACUAGGUUCAAGGUCGAUGUCCCCUGUCAUAGUGGCUGAAGGACAUAAACAGUGUGAAGGUCAGGGGCGGGAGAAGAAGUGAUUUAUUGACCAGGUCUCCAUCCAGCCUUUUUGGGAUAUGACUCUUUCAGCAGAAUGUCAAAAAGUCUAAUUUUCUGUGGACUCCAGAAAAGUUGAUUUUGAUCAGAUCAACAAGCCACCUCAGAGUGUUGAACUCAUACCCUCUGGCUUUUUCUGCUAAUGACUAUGAAAUUCACAUUCAGUGAUGAACCUCUUCUCAGGAUGGAAUGCUUUUAUAGUAAUGCCAAUUAAUAACUUUCUUCUUCUCCUAGCCCUCUUUGUGAUGUUGAAUCACAGGGCAUAGAUGCUGGCAGGGCUUUAGAGGCACUAGUAAUGUGGUUUUUAAAUUUUUUUCAUUGACUGAUCAGCAUCUUUCAUCUCCUUGGUUCAUAACCUGUGAAGUAGGCAACAGCCUGGAUCAUUAUCCCCAUCUUAUACGCGAAAUAACCAAGAAAAAAAGCGGCUAAGCCACUUACCCAAGUUGUAGAGCUAGGUCUAGAACAUGUCUUAUGACUCCCAAACAAUGCUCAAUCUACUACAUCAAACUUCCUUUCUCUUCCACCCUGCAGAUUAGAUGCAAAUUACUACAUGCUUGAGCUUCACCGAGAAGGAAACCAGCUCAGAGAGGAGUAGAGGUCUGGCCUUCAUGGCAGUGUGGGAGAGCUCCUUGACUCUUACCCUCCCUCCAGAGACAGAAACAGUUUCCCUUCAAACCAUCAUGAGGAUUGUUGCACGCCAGCUCUGUCUUAACUUAAAUAUGACUCCAGGUCAAUAUCAAAAGGAAGGUGACAGUGUCCACCUACCCAUUCCCCAGUAGCUGGCCACAUUGUGCCGUCCUAGCCACAGCUGAGCCUGCUCCAGGCCAUUCUCUUGAAACACAUACUAGCAUCCUCCCCCGAGCCCAGCUUCCACUGACAGGCAGGCUCUGAAUCCAGCAGGCUGCUGCCUGAAGCAGCUCCCAGCAGGAGCUAGAUGGAGGCCGGCAAGGUUACAGGUGCUUUUCAUCCAGCCUCACAGGAGAGCACCAACUUCCUGCUGCUAGAAAUUUGUCUGCAAAUUUUUGUCUUCAUUCAAAUCGAUGGAUAGAAGCCGGGAGACACUGGGGUGAUAUGAUAACUUGAUUAAGCCCCAGAACAGAUGACACGGUAGCUUAAAGGCCAUGUGCUCUCCUCCUUAACCUCUCCCAGGGAGACCGCAGGCUUUGCUAGUAAUUGGCCCAUUGUCCUUCCACUGCGAUUCCUGCACAAGCCGGGAAUCGCCUGGCUAGGGGCUCCUCUCUGGGGCAGCCUUAAAUACUCUCAGACCAGUCAGGCCUAGGGAACUGUGAAAAAUACCUGUGCAAUGGAACAUACCAGAGUCACAUUCUGAGAAGCUAAAAAUGACCCUUACUGAAAACAAUGACCUAGGAUAUUCUCCCAUCCUCAAGCACAACUGUAAAUUGCAACACACACAGGGAUGAAAGCCCAAGACUGUUAAAAGGUGUUCAAACUUUUAGAAUAUUCCGUUCUUUUGGGGGAAAAUCCCCCUGACCUUUCAUUUUUGUCGAGGUUGGUGUCUCCUGCUGGAUUACCCAUUAUUGAGAAUGUUUUUGAUCAACCACUUCCAGAUACUCUGGCAUUCACUGGUGUGAGCCCGUCUUGGGUGAGCUAAGGUGGAUACCUGUGUAUAUCAUUGCCUCUGGAAAAGAGAUAGGUGGGUUCCAAGCCAGAAAGAAGAGUGCUAAAUAGAAGAUAUAAGUAGAGCUGGGCGUGGGGUCGUGAACAGUGGCUCAGGCCUGUAAUCUCAGCACUUUGGGAGGCUGAGGCGGGCAGAUCACCUGAGGUCAGGAGUUGGAGACUGGCCUGGCCAACAUGCCAAAACCUCGUCUCUACUUUAAAAAAAAAAAAAAGGGCCGGGCACAGUGGCUCACGCCUGUAAUCCCAGCACUUUGGGAGGCCAAGGCGGGCGGAUCCCGAGGUCAGGAGGUCGAGACCAUCCUGGCUAACAUGCUGAAACCUCGUCUCUACUAAAAAUACAAAAAAAAAAAAAAAAUUAGCCAGGCGUGGUGGCGGGCGCCUGUAGUGCCAGCUACUCGGGAGGCUGAGGCAGGAGAAUGGCGUGAACCCGGGAGACGGAGCUUGCAGUGAGCGCGGCACUGCACUCCAUUCAGCCUGGUCGACAGAGCGGGACUCCGUUUCAAAAAAAAAAAAAAAAAAGUAGCCGGGUGUGGUGGCGGACGCCUGUAAUCCCAGCUACUUGGGAGGUUGAGGCAGGAGAAUCGCUUGCACCUGGGAGGCGUAGGCUUCGGAAAGAGGAGGCUUCAGUGAGCCGAGACCGCAUCACUGCACUCCAGCCUGGGCGACAAAGCGAGACUCCAUCUAAAAAAAAAAAAAAAAGAUGUAAGUAGAUAUUUGCUGUGAUGAUAGUUUUGCAUUCUAUUUUAAAAUCUUCUGUCAGUCUUUGUUCAGUGAUAGACUUAAGACAUUUAAGAGCUGAGAGGGAGCGGAACACGAAUCCCCUCAACCCAUUUUUUUUUAGGAAUAUAUGAGAGGAAUAAAAUUCGCUACUGUCUGCUCAAAGUUUGAGUUGGACCCUUGCUGGGGAAUGUGAAAAACAAAGCUGUUGGUGACGCUUUGAAAAUCAGCAAGGUGUACUAUUAAAGGUUAAAUAAAUGCUAUUUUAAAUUCUCAUUCAUUAUGAUUUAUUGCUCAAGUCUCCCUAUGAGAAAGAG
rnacentral:lncRNA from 10 species